GCUGGUGUAGCUCAGUGGUAGAGCAAGGGUUUUGUAAACCUUAGGUCGGGGGUUCAAGUCCCUCCACCAGCUCCA
rnacentral:tRNA from 1 species